CAUCCUCUGACAAACAGCCACAAAUAAGGAAUACAGGCGAAGACUGGGUAGACCACAACUGCACGUCCAACUUUGGAUGAGAUCUAACUCUGUGAUAAAUGAUGAAGCAGACUGAUGAACCUGAGAGAAUUGUUUAGCUAGAAGAGCUGCUAUGAGCUUCCAAAGCAGCUGAGACCAGGACCUUAAGGAAUGUCAUGCAGUAGGUGCUAAACUAACUGGCACUGAAAGGAACAGAAAAAGAUGGCAGUUCGUAUUUGAAAUAUUUAAGCACGUGGACUCUCGUUGAUAAGAAAUCAUGUCAAAAAAAGGACGUAGCAAGGGCGAAAAGCCUGAGGCACUGAUUGUUGCCCUGCAGGCUGCCAAUGAGGAACUCAGGACCAAGCUAACAGACAUUCAAAUUGAGCUGCAUCAGGAGAAAUCAAAGGUUGCUAAACUUGAAAGAGAGAAGACUCAAGAAACGAAGCGCAUCCGUGAGGUGGAGCAGCGCAAGCAGACGGUGCAGAUCACAGAGCUGAAAGCCAAACUCCAUGAGGAGAAAAUGAAGGAGCUGCAGGCCGUGAGGGAGAACCUCAUCAAACAGCAUGAGCAGGAGAUGACGCGGAUGGUGAAAGUCCGAGACAGCGAAAUCCAGCGCCUCAAGUCAGCGCUGUGCGCGCUGCGGGACGGGAGCAGCGACAAAGUAAGGACAGCGCUGACUAUUGAGGCUCGUGAAGAGGCCAGAAAACAGUUCGACUCCGAGCGCCUUAAGCUUCUGCAGGAAAUUACUGAACUGAAGUCUGCCAAAAAGCAGGUAGAUGAGGCCCUUAACAAUAUGAUCCAAGCUGAUAAGAUCAAGGCGGGGGAUCUUCGGAGUGAGCACCAGUCCCACCAGGAAGCCAUUUCCAAGAUCAAAUGGGAGAGUGAAAGGGAUAUUCGCCGCCUGAUGGAUGAGAUCAAGGCUAAAGACAGGAUCAUAUUUUCCUUGGAGAAAGAACUGGAGACACAGACAGGCUAUGUGCAGAAGCUGCAGCUGCAGAAGGAAGCUCUGGAUGAACAGCUCUUCUUGGUGAAGGAGGCAGAGUGUAACAUGAGCAGUCCCAAGAGAGAGAUCCCAGGAAGGGCUGGAGAUGGUUCGGAGCACUGCAGCAGCCCUGACUUGCGCAGAAACCAGAAGAGGAUAGCAGAGCUGAAUGCCACAAUCCGGAAGCUGGAAGACAGGAACACGUUGCUCGUUGAUGAACGCAACGAACUGUUGAAGCGUGUCCGAGAAGCUGAGAAACAAUGUAAACCUCUUCUGGAAAAGAACAAGUGCCUCACGAAGAGAAAUGAUGAACUUAUGCAGUCCCUGCAGCGCAUGGAAGAUAAACUCAAAGCAGUCACUAAAGAAAAUAUAGAAAUGAGAGAAAAAAUGACAUCACAUCCUCCUUUAAAGAAAUUAAGAUCUCUCAAUGACCUGGAUCAGGCUAAUGAGGAACAAGAAACUGAAUUCUUAAAGCUUCAGGUCAUAGAACAACAGAACAUAAUCGAUGAGUUAACAAGGGAUAGGGAGAAACUCAUUCGUCGCAGAAAGCAUAAAAGGAGCUCAAAGCCAAUUAAGAGACAUGUAGUGGAUACAGUUUUUGGGUACGAUGAUGAUUCAAUGGAUUCUGAAACAUCUUCUGUGGCCUCAUAUAGAACAGACAGAACACCAGCAACCCCAGAUGAUGAUCUGGAUGAGGGUUUAGCAGCGGAAGAAUCAGAGCUGCGGUUUCGACAGCUGACAAAGGAGUACCAGGCCCUGCAGAGAGCAUAUGCACUACUGCAGGAGCAGACAGGAGGCAUCAUAGAUGCUGAAAGAGAAGCCAAGGCUCAGGAGCAGCUCCAAGCUGAAGUCCAGAGGUAUAAAGCCAAAAUAGAAGAUCUGGAGAAAACUUUGGCACAGAAAGGGCAGGACUCGCACUGGGUAGAAGACAAACAGCUUUUCAUUAAGAGGAACCAAGAGCUUUUAGACAAGAUAGAGAAAAUGGAAGCAGAAAACAACCGUCUGCAACAGGAGCUGCAGGAUGCCCGAGACCAGAAUGAGCUGCUGGAGUUCCGCAACCUUGAGCUGGAGGAAAGAGAGAGACGGUCCCCACCAUUUAAUCUCCAGAUUCACCCAUUCUCAGAUGGUGUCAGUGCUCUACAGAUCUACUGCAUGAAGGAAGGGGUUAAGGAUGUCAGCAUCCCAGACCUCAUAAAGCAGUUAGACAUCCUAGGUGACAAUGGGAAUUUAAGAAAUGAAGAACAAGUGGCCAUAAUUCAGGCUUCCACUGUAUUGUCCUUGGCAGAAAAGUGGAUCCAGCAGAUUGAGGGAGCUGAAGCUGCUCUGCAUCAAAAGAUGAUGGAACUGGAAAGUGAUAUGGAGCAAUUUUGCAAAAUAAAAGGUUAUUUGGAGGAAGAAUUAGACUACAGGAAGCAAGCUCUUGACCAAGCAUACAUGAGGAUCCAGGAGCUUGAAGCCACCUUGUACAAUGCUUUGCAGCAAGAAACGGUGAUAAAGUUUGGGGAACUACUCACUGAAAAACAGCAGGAAGAGCUGAGGACAGCAGUAGAAAAGCUAAGACGUCAGAUGCUGAGGAAAAGCAGAGAAUAUGAUUGCCAGAUUCUUCAGGAGAGGAUGGAACUGCUCCAACAGGCUCAUCAGAGGAUCCGAGAUUUAGAAGAUAAAACUGACAUCCAAAAGAGACAGAUUAAGGAUCUGGAGGAAAAGUUUCUAUUUCUAUUCUUGUUCUUCUCUCUUGCCUUUAUUCUUUGGCCUUGAUGUCAGUGUGCCUCUUGGAAAGAACAGGAAAUCCCUAGUCCCAGAACAAAAAUGUCAGUGUGUGUUUCCUGAGGCGGUGUGCGUGGUUUGGUAUGCCAGCAUAGAAGAGAAGGGAAGAGGAACUGAGAAUUACAGACAUAACAUGGAUGAGUCACUUGGGUUUUCAGGAAUUGCAGGUAUAUACCAGUAUCUUCUGAAAUAAGCAUUUCCCAAAAUACAAGAAAACCCCACACUAUUACUCUGACAUUGGAAUUCCAGUGGUGCUGAUGAACUCUUUGUCUUGGUGUAAGCCAAAAUGUGUUGCUAACAUCUUCUUUUUCAUCUUGCUUUUUUGUCUUGCUAAUCUUUUUUUUUUUUUGAGAAUAAAUUAGGUCAGUGUCAGUGUAGCUUCUGCUAUGUGCAGACAGAACUGAAGGCUGGUGCUGCAAUGAUGCCUGAUUUCUAAAACUCCAAAACGAGUCUCACAGAGUUCCUCUGCCAGCUUUUACGGUAAUGUUGGAGCCUGUGAAAAUAUCUCUGGUGCCCUUUAACAUUUCAGUGUCUUCAUGCUAAGAAAAACCAUGUUUCAGCAGCCUGCCAAUUUGUGUACUCAAAGGCAGACUGAAUAGUUUGUUACAGAGGAGCCAUUCCUUCCCUCUCCUCGCAGCAGGAAGGGGAGAACCGCAGUAUAAAAGGGGAAGAAUCGGGACCAGCAAAAAAAAUACACCACCCCUUCCACAUUUGCUCAUAACACUUAUGGCCUUUUGGUCUAACUUGAGGGCAGAUACUGGCUGGUUAGAAAAGUUAAUGAGGUGUUAAGAAGGUCAGAAUUUUACGUUCCUCCUAAAAUUCUAGCGGAUUUGUUGUUAUUCACCUGCAGUCAUUCUUCUACCCGCACGUGGCUGCUGGGUACCAUCCAGCACAAGCUCUCCGCACUCCUGGCGUGUUCUCUGAGUAGCACCAACAGUCAAAAGAAACGUAAGUGCUUUUCUGAGGCCUUGAGGACUGGCAGGACUGUCACAGCUGCAAUGGAACCACGGCAGCAUCGAGGCUGAUCUCAGUGCCGGGGUUUUACAUCGAUCCUGCAGGGACCAUGGCAAGACUUCCCCUGCCCCUCCAGCCCAAUCUCUUUUAACAGGUUUUCUGCUUGUUUUAAACAGCAUCUAAGGUUUAGCAGGUGUAAAUCUCUUGGAUGUAACUUCACUGAGCUUAGGAAGUGCCAGCAUGAGCAGGGUUUCGCUCGCUGGCAUCGCUGCUCCCAGGAGUCUCUGGGUUGAGCGGCUCGUGUCUCCGCUGCCCCGGAGAGGGCAAAAAGUGUCAGAGCUGGGAUGUGGUCACAGCCCCGGGGAGCCUGCUGGUGUGCUGGGCCACCGGAGAGGAAUGAUUCGUUUGCCUUUCCCAUCCCAUUUUUGCAUAUUUGGCUCUGAAUGUCAGGUAGGGAGCAAGAGGAUGGAUUACUGUGAGUGGGUCAGCAGAGGGGAGUAGCCAUGGCAGUGGUGGAGAGGCUGUGAUAGAGAGAAUGGGCUGUUGACUAUGAAAAUGGAAAAAUCUCACAGGUGAGGUGUGUGUGGGAUAUAUAAACUCGAUGCUUUUCCAGAGGAUCUGCGUUGCUGUGAACUCCCUUGAACUGUAAAGACAGCUGCAGCAGGCCCAGCAUCACAGCAAGCAUGGUAUCUGUAGUGUUUUACCAAGGCAAGUCACUCUACAAGUGCAAAGCAUCAAGUCUUGUAGCAAUUCCUCACAAACAAGGCAAUGAGUGCCCGACCACACAGAUAAGUCCUUAUAAAGGCAAAUGCUUCCAUCCCCCAAUGAAGAGAACAUUGUUUACACCUAUUUUAAAAAGUAUAAAAAGGAACGACCUGUAGCCAAGACUGUAACCACCUUGUAUUUUAAAGCCAUCACUCAAGAUUUGUUACUUGACAGUUCCUGUCUAAAGCUGUGAUAUAUGCUGCAUCUGAUGAAAUUCUAUAUGUUGAAAUUACAACAGGGGAAGAAAAAUAAACUGUGAACCUACAUCACUUAGGAAGAACUUAAAGGGAAGGAACCACUUUCAGCUGAUCAAGUCAGUGAGUCUUGGGCAUGGAACCAAAGUUACAACAGAAAAAAGUCUAUCCCUGCUGUGCAGGGCAGUCGUUUAAAUGUGACACUGUCAUCCCAUGAAUGGAUCAAAAGUGAACAGGACAGAGCAGGAGAAACACAAGCCGUGGAGAGAUGCUGACAACAAAGCAUUUGGUUUGAACUGUCUGGCUUUCUCACUGCAGUGACUCCUCUCCCUCUUUGGUUUUAACCUCAGGAACAAAUGACAGCUGCAAUGUGGGGGAAGAAAGGAAAAACGCUUUCUGGUUUAUCACAGGAUGGGCAGGACAGGGCACCACGUUUUGUGCUUGGGGUCAUAACAAAGCACCACCCUACUCAGCAAAGGAGGGGAAGAGGUGGGGGUCUGGCGUAAGGAGGAUUUCUGACACUUGUAGCCUUAUUUCUCUUUACCCUCCUUCCACGAAGAACAGCCUGUCUGUUGUCAGAUACUUUUCUUACUCUUUGAAGACUGCCAUUGAGAUGAUAGUGACUAUACUUGGGUUUACUAAUUAAAUAAUACACUGAGGAUCACUGGAUUGGACCCACAGAGUAGCUUCUGAGAAAGACAAGAAAUAUGAUGGGGGACAGAGCGGGGAAAAAGCCAACCCCCUUGUCCACGUGGCAUGAUCCACAAAGCAUCAGCUAGCAACUGUUUUGUCCCGGCUUGGAACAAAUGUUUUGGUUUGGCUCGUUAAAAUGACUUGGUUAGCUGGCUUCCUGAUCAAUGACAUAUAAACCAAAAAUGGGGAACACAUCCUUAUUAUAAGUAAGAAGAAGUAUCACUAGUCUGUUUAGCUUUUUCCACAGUUAAGAAUAACUAGAAGUAGUUUGCAUUUCAGGCAUUGCUCCCCUCUGCCCACAAAGCCUGGAACCCAGUCCUGGUGUCUCCCGGAGGCAGCACCGUCCCUGUCCCAGUAGUCGGUGAGAAACGAGCCCUGGGGGGUCUCUGCCCACAGCAAAGGGGCAAAGGGCCGGUGCUGGCCGGAGUGGAGCAGCCAGUGGCCCCCCGGGAGCCGGGCACAGCCAGGGGCUUCUCUGCCUAUUUGCCUUCCCCUGGAAAGGGAGUCGUGCCUGUUCAGAGAUCAGGUGGCAAGGCUCCAUCUCUGAGCUGUGCCUUUCCCUUUCAGUUCAACCCGGAGAAAGGCGUGUCUCAGUUACCUAAUAAAAACCAAGGGCCAGAAUACAGCCCGUGCAUUCCCUGCACCUUCAACACUGGGCUCACAUGUACCAACAUACGCACACAGACUCUGCCCAUCAGAAGCUUUAGAAGUGCUUUACAAAGAGUCUCUCCUCGUUUGCUUGUUUAUUUUUACAGAUGGAGCAACUGAGGCACAAAGCAGUGAAGUAACUUGCCAAGCAACCCCCCAGGUUUCAAAAGCAGUUCCUCAGCCCCGGCAGGGAUGGAGCUCCUCGGUACUGACACACCUGCCCCUCAGAUAGUUUUUGUCCAGAAUAGCUUUCAAGCAUUAAUGUCCUUUCACCCAACUGGAUUGCAGUGCUGGGCUCCAUUUCUCCACAGACUCCUAACACUCUCAUUUCUUGCAUGCCCUGAGAUCGUGUUAAGCCUUCCAUCAAAGGCUAAAAGCUAUUACCAGGUGAUUUUUUUUUUUCCCCCCCUGCUCCUUAGAAUUAACAUCUUGAAGCAGUUUGUUUCAGUCAAGGGGUUUACUGAAUUCUACACCAACUAUCUUUGUUGGUUCAUUUCUUUAAAAACAGGGUUGUGGGCAGGUAUGUUAAAUGAAUACAGGUAUGUUGCAUGCUCUUUGUUCAAAUUCCUUUUCCCCCUCAGCAGAAUCUGUGGAUGAGGUUGGCCCAGACCUGCACGUGCUUUCCAAGAGCACUGGCAGCAGUUCAGUCCUGCCUGCUGCAGAUUGGCCCUUCCAGAGUCUCGCCACACACCUGUGACUCCUUCAGGUCUCUCAGCAAUGUUACAGCAUCUUGUUAGCUACAAAAAGGGGGUUUCCUCUCUGGUUAUUCCCUCUUCCCCCUCUUACUCUUUUUUCUCAUUGCAGCACCAGUUCAUGUCGUACUACUUGAUCGCAGUGUCUUGCAAGUAAAGACAGGCUGGGAACUUUUCCCCAGGAUUUGGGCCAGCAAUUAAAACAUUGAACUGUUUCAGAAGAAUGAACAGCACUUGUGUUCCAUGAUGGUGCAGUAACUUCCUCCCCUGCUUUGGUAUAAGAAAAAGGAGGACUAGAAACUGUUGUUUCAGAUAAUCAUAGGGGAAGGUUCACAGCACAGAUAGAAAUAUCUCGUGUCAGAUCAUACCUGACUGACCUGUGGCAGGCUUCAUCAUUUAGGCCCUCUGAGCCGCCUUGUGCACAUCUUACUUCAUUACUCUUUUUUGCCUAACUUCCCCUCCCUUGCUCGCAUGUGUACAUAUGCACGCAGGUGCUCCUCCAAGGGCUUAGGGUGGGGCAGGGGAUGGUAGACAGUCUGCAGCUUGUCUUGGUCUGCAAACUUGUAAGAGAUUGCUGCCCUCCCUCCAGAGCUGAGGGGCGGCUGCUCCGCUCCCCUUGCAGCACAGCACAAGCCACGACUGAAACACUUGCUAAGGAGAGUAGUACAACUUUCGGCCAUCAGCUGGAUCGAGUUUGAUGUUUGUAUAUAUAUAUACAUGUAUCUAUAUAUAGUAUAUAUGUAUAUGUACAUAUAUAUGCAUAUAUCUAUUCCAUAUUGUAUAUAGUGAAUCGUUGCUAGAGCUUAUGAAAGUGUACUUCCAAUCUAGGUAUGGGGAACUGAAUCUAGACUUGUUUAGCUGCCACAGCCGCUCCACUCCUCAUGGUUUAGUUUUACAUCUCAUGGGCAACUAGUUUUUGGGUCUGUUUCUCUGGGGUCUCCCCCCCUUCUCUGUCCUGAAGUCGUUUAUCUAGGGCUUUCUGCUCUUCCUGACAUGCCCUGAGGCAAAGUAUGGAGAAUCCUCCCUCAAAUUAGUCACUGCAGCCAACAUCCCCUCUCCCAAACCGACCAGCAAA